rnacentral:rRNA from 1 species
GACGAACGCUGGCGGCGUGCUUAACACAUGCAAGUCGAACGGAGUGGCGAACGGGUGAGUAACACGUGGGUGACCUGCCCUGCACUUCGGGAUAAGCCUGGGAAACUGGGUCUAAUACCGGGUAGUGUGGGAUGGGCCCGCGGCCUAUCAGCUUGUUGGUGGGGUAAUGGCCUACCAAGGCGGCGAAGGGUAGCCGGCCUGGGGGGGUAGACGGCAACAUUGGUACCGUGCGACGGACCAGACUCCUACGGGGGGAAGCCGUGUGGAAUGCUGCACAAUGGGCGGAAUACUGAUGCAGCGGCUCCGCGUGGGGGAGGUCGGCCUGCUGGUUGUAAACUCCUUGCAUCAUCGACGCGUUAGAUGGAUAAGAAGAACCGGCUAACUACGUGCCAGCAGCCGCGGUAAUAC